ensembl:lncRNA
GUAAGAUGUUGAGAUGGAAGGAACUGACUGGAGCUAGCGGCCGUUUCGUUUCCACAGUCAACAUCCGGUUUACUAAACAAAUUCACAAUAAAAACCCACAGAGCAGCUACAUAUCAGACAGUGUAUGCAGACUCUCAGCAUUGUCAGAACUGCCGAACCCUGCUUAGAGUAGCUCACCAUGGCGCAAGAAUUGGAGCUUUAUUACUGCGGCACUAUACACGAACUUCAGGGAACAAACACAAACCGCAGUGGAACUGAACAGUUGGGUCCGACGUCCAGAAAAAGAAGACAUCUCAGAAUUUGCAUUCUAACUUUGGGAGUGUUGUGUAUUGUACAGAGCGCUCUCAAUAUCUCCCUUCGCCUUGCCUUUUUUUCAAAAGAAGAUACAGAUCAGUUCCCUUUCAACAGCUCCAUAAUAUUGGACUUGUGCCGGAACAACCAAUCCCAAGUGAAGUCAUCCCAGUCAUGUUUCUGUGAGAAGAACCUGCUGAGAAGACUAGAGAAGGAAUAUCAGGCUUUGGAAAAAGAGAGAGACAGCUUACAUGCCAGAGUUAUUCAACUGACUAGAAAUAGCCUUUACGUCUCUUACGAUGACGAAGAAUCUGGGUCCGGGUAUUAAAUUCAGUGUUGACCACACUCAAGUAUGAGAACAUACAAACCUUUUCACAUAGUGAAACCUCAGGUGCAUUGAGGACCAAUGUCAUUGACAUUAUGUUGAUGACAUCAUCAAACAUUUUAAGUCGUACGGAACAAUUUCAAUCAGUUACAUUUCAAUAUUUAAACCUCUUUUCAUCAACAGUAACAACUUAAAUUGUUGAAUUUGAAACAUCCACAUCACAUUAAGGUCACAUUAAUUAAAUAAGUUUAGUUUAGAACCGAACCAGGCAUCUAUCCAAGACUGUAACAUGUCUAACAUGUCAUCUGGUAAAGAGGUUCACUGCUAUUUUGAUGGUGAGCUUGUUGUUUAGAAGAAUAGCGCUGUCAAGUCGCAACAUAUUGUAUGGGUCAGAAACGCUGUUAGCAUUAGAAGUAAUGUGAUUAUAAGGAAUAGCACCGUAAAGAAGAUGAUGAUAUCACAUGUGUGCGGUUGUAUGCGUCCUAAUAAGAACAGGAUACUGAAAAAGAUUAGCCAGCAGGAUGAAUUAAAAAGAAGUGAUGUGGCAUUGAGCAAUACAGGAAAGUUUCGCCUGUUGGAUUGAAAUGUGUGUGGUAGGAAGGAGUGCGGCAACCGACAAUAAAAGAGGAAGAAGACCCACCGUCCAGAGCCCUGGACAUUGUUUGAUAGAACUGCGUCUCAGUUCACAGAAAAGGGAACACGUUCCUCACCAAGAACUGGCUGACAGGGAUUUUCUUCUCUCCCCCGCUGGAAACUGGAAGACAGAGGAAGCCCGAAGGACUGCUGACAACUUUGUCUCAACUCCUCAACCCCAAAAGGAUUUAUUACUUUUCCAUGCAACCUCCUUUUAAAAGUGUAAUCAAACCGUAAUGAAUCAAAGUAGAACAGUAUUAUUUGUGUGUUGCUAAUUAACCUGCAAUAAAUAUCUAAACUGCAUUCAUAGUCAAUAUUUCUCAGAGUUAGUCACCAACUAAUAAAAAGUACCCAUUGCUGUAAAAUGCCAUGAUAUUAUUGUGUGCAUAAUAACAAUAGAGUUCUAAAUGAAGCCAGGCGAGUGUCCUUCGGCACCAGCUUAUACCCAGAUCAGUACAUAUACAUGACUAGGAAAUGACAUACAGGAUUUCAUGUGGCAAAUCCGAGGAAGAAAUAACAUGUGGUGCUUCUUGCUUCUAAUUCAACACUACUCUGCGUGUAUGUAAAUGUGGGGUGCUUUUCUUCUGUCAAUUUGUUCUCCUUUGUGGGAAAACUUUCUUGAGAUCAUAGAGUCUUUCUUUGCUGAUGAGUUUGUCAAAGGUAACUGACAGAAAUGAGAGCUCCAACACAUUCACUCAUCAUUUCUCAUUAACACUGCUGGCUUUGUUUUAAUUAGCCGUUGUGACUGACACCUGAGUUCCUGUGACACUCUAUACCAGCCUCGUCUUAUCCUCCUUCCCAGCUGUUGCUUGUCAAUCAUCCCAAAGUUGUAUCUUGUCUCUCAAAAUAGAACCACGCGUAUGAAGCUGCCUGUGCUGUUUGCUGGCCCUCAGAGGCAGUAAGGGAUGUGUGUUUGAUUUGGUACACACAACAAAAUAAAACAAUACAAAUGGGUACUGAAAUAUACAUUUUCCAAAUAUGUCACACAAUAUCUUCUU